GGCCUCCCAAGGCGACGAUGGGUAGCCGGCCUGAGAGGUGAUCGGCCACACUGGACUGAGACACGGCCCAGACUCUACGGGAGGCAGCAGUAGGGAAUCUUCCACAAUGGGCGCAAGCCUGAUGGAGCAACGCCGCGUGAGUGAAGACGGCCUUCGGGUUGUAAAGCUCUGUCUGUCGGGACGAGGGCCCGGAUGCAAAUCCGGGCGGGACGGUACCGGCGGAGGAAGCCCCUGCAAACUACGUGCCAGCAGCCGCGGUAAGACGUAGGGGGCAAGCGUUGUCCGGAAUUACUGGGCGUAAAGGGCGUGUAGGCGGUUUCACACGUAGCGGUUUUCAGCCGCCGGCUCACCCGGCGGAGGGGCGGCUAAACGGUGAGACUUGAGGGCAGGAGAGGUGCACGGAAUUCCUGGUGGAGCGGUGAAAUGCGUAGAGAUCAGGAAGAACACCGGUGGCGAAGGCGGUGCACUGGCCUGGCCCUGACGCUGAGGCGCGACAGCGUGGGGGAGCAAACGGGAUUAGAUACCCCGGUAGUCCACGCCGUAAACGAUGGAUACUAGGUGUCGCGGGGGUCCACCGGCGGUGCCGAGCUAACGACUAAGUAUCCCGCCUGGGGAGUACGGCCGCAAGGUUGAAACUCAAAGGAAUUGACGGGGGCCCGAACAAGCAGUGGAGCAUGUGGUUUAAUUCGACGCAACGGCAGAACCUUACCAGGACUAGACGGGACCAUGAGUCCCCGAAAGGGAAGGGCUUCUUCGGAAGAGUGGUCGUCAGGUGCUGCAUGGUUGUCGUCAGCUCGUGUCGUGAGAUGUUGGGUUAAGUCC
rnacentral:rRNA from 1 species